rnacentral:rRNA from 1 species
AGAGGAAGUAAAAGUCGUAACAAGGUUUCCCGUAGGUGAACCUGCGGAAGGAUCAUUAAUGAAAUUAUAAUCCGGCGAGGGGAAGGCGGAGGACUGUCGCUGGCCUUUUAACCGAGGCAUGUGCACGCUCUCUUCUGGACUUUUGCCGUAUGGGCGCGGGGCGACCCGCGUCUUCAUAUACCUCUUCGUGUAGAAAGUCUUUGAAUGUUUUACGAUCAUCGAGUCGCGACUUCUAGGAGACGCGAUUCUUUGAGACAAAAGUUAUCACAACUUUCAGCAAUGGAUCUCUUGGCUCUCGCAUCGAUGAAGAACGCAGCGAAUCGCGAUAUGUAAUGUGAAUUGCAGAUCUACAGUGAAUCAUCGAAUCUUUGAACGCACCUUGCGCUCCUCGGUGUUCCGAGGAGCAUGCCUGUUUGAGCGUCAGUAAAUUCUCAACCCCUCUCGAUUUGUUUCGAGUGGGGCUUGGAUAGUGGGGGCUGCCGGAGACCUGAAUUCAUUUCAGGACUCGGGCUCCUCUGAAAUGCAUCGGCUUGCGGUCGACUUUCGACUUUGCGCGACAAGGCUUUCGGCGUGAUAAUGAUCGCCGUUCGCCGAAGCGCAUGAAUGAACCGUCCCGUGCCUCUAAUCCGUCGACCCCUUCUGGGCGUCUUCCUUAUAGACGUUUGACCUCAAAUCAGGUAGGACUACCCGCUGAACUUAAGCAUAUCAAUAAGCGGAGGAA